GAUGAACGCUGGCGGCGUGCCUAAUACAUGCAAGUCGAGCGAACGGACGAGAAGCUUGCUUCUCUGAUGUUAGCGGCGGACGGGUGAGUAACACGUGGAUAACCUACCUAUAAGACUGGGAUAACUUCGGGAAACCGGAGCUAAUACCGGAUAAUAUUUUGAACCGCAUGGUUCAAAAGUGAAAGACGGUCUUGCUGUCACUUAUAGAUGGAUCCGCGCUGCAUUAGCUAGUUGGUAAGGUAACGGCUUACCAAGGCAACGAUGCAUAGCCGACCUGAGAGGGUGAUCGGCCACACUGGAACUGAGACACGGUCCAGACUCCUACGGGAGGCAGCAGUAGGGAAUCUUACGCAAUGGGCGAAAGCCUGACGGAGCAACGCCGCGUGAGUGAUGAAGGUCUUCGGAUCGUAAAACUCUGUUAUUAGGGAAGAACAGAUGUGUAAGUAACUGUGCACAUCUUGACGGUACCUAAUCAGAAAGCCACGGCUAACUACGUG
rnacentral:rRNA from 1 species